GUGGGGAAUUUUGGACAAUGGGCGAAAGCCUGAUCCAGCCAUACCGCGUGAGUGAAGAAGGCCUUCGGGUUGUAAAGCUCUUUCAGCCGGAAAGAAAACGCAUCUCUUAAUACGAGGUGUGGAUGACGGUACCGGAAGAAGAAGCACCGGCUAACUACGUGCCAGCAGCCGCGGUAAUACGUAGGGUGCGAGCGUUAAUCGGAAUUACUGGGCGUAAAGCGUGCGCAGGCGGUCUUUUAAGCCAGAUGUGAAAUCCCCGGGCUCAACCUGGGAACUGCAUUUGGAACUGGAAGACUAGAGUGUAGAAGAGGGGGGUAGAAUUCCACGUGUAGCAGUGAAAUGCGUAGAUAUGUGGAGGAAUACCGAUGGCGAAGGCAGCCCCCUGGGCUAACACUGACGCUCAUGCACGAAAGCGUGGGGAGCAAACAGGAUUAGAAACCCGGGUAGUCC
rnacentral:rRNA from 1 species